GGAUUCCCCUAGUAGCGGCGAGCGAAGCGGGAAAAGCUCAAAUUUGUAAUCUGGCGUCUACGACGUCCGAGUUGUAAUCUCGAGAAGUGUUUUCCGUGAUAGACCGCAUACAAGUCUCUUGGAACAGAGCGUCAUAGUGGUGAGAACCCAGUACACGAUGCGGAUGCCUAUUACUUUGUGAUACACUUUCGAAGAGUCGAGUUGUUUGGGAAUGCAGCUCAAAUUGGGUGGUAAAUUCCAUCUAAAGCUAAAUAUUGGCGAGAGACCGAUAGCGAACAAGUACCGUGAGGGAAAGAUGAAAAGCACUUUGGAAAGAGAGUUAACAGUACGUGAAAUUGUUGGAAGGGAAACACAUGCAGCCAGACUUGCUAUUCGGGGCAACUCGAUUGGCAGGCCCGCAUCAGUUUUUCGGGGCGGAAAAUCAUAGAGAGAAGGUAGCAAUUUCGGUUGUGUUAUAGCUCUUUAUUGGAUUCGCCCUGGGGGACUGAGGAACGCAGCGUGCUUUUAGCAUAAGCUUCGGCUUAUCCACGCUUAGGAUGCGGGUGUAAUGGCUGUAUAUGACCCGUCUUG
rnacentral:rRNA from 1 species